rnacentral:rRNA from 1 species
UGGGGAAUAUUGCACAAUGGAGGAAACUCUGAUGCAGCAACGCCGCGUGAGCGACGAAGGCCUUCGGGUUGUAAAGCUCUGUCUUCGCUGACGAUAAUGACGGUAAGCGAGGAGGAAGCCACGGCUAACUACGUGCCAGCAGCCGCGGUAAUACGUAGGUGGCGAGCGUUGUCCGGAAUUACUGGGCGUAAAGGGUGCGUAGGCGGUUUUUUAAGUGGGAUGUGAAAUCCCUGGGCUCAACUCAGGAAUUGCAUUCCAAACUGGAAGACUAGAGUGCAGGAGAGGAAAGUGGAAUUCCCAGUGUAGCGGUGAAAUGCGUAGAGAUUGGGAGGAACACCAGUGGCGAAGGCGACUUUCUGGACUGUAACUGACGCUGAUGCACGAAAGCGUGGGGAGCAAACAGG